rnacentral:rRNA from 1 species
UACGGAGGGAGCUAGCGUUGUUCGGAAUUACUGGGCGUAAAGCGCACGUAGGCGGUCUUUUAAGUCAGGGGAGAAAUCCCGGGGCUCAACCCCGGAACUGCCCUUGAAACUGGGAGACUAGAAUACUGGAGAGGUGAGUGGAAUUCCGAGUGUAGAGGUGAAAUUCGUAGAUAUUCGGAAGAACACCAGUGGCGAAGGCGACUCACUGGACAGUUAUUGACGCUGAGGUGCGAAAGCUUGGGGAUCAAACAGG